UCAAACGCCUGUGGGGCGGGGUGCUGGCCGAUGGCUGUGCCGGCCAUCCGCUCCCCGGGGAGGACGUUGUCGCCGCGACGGCGCGCCGCAUCAACGAAGAGCUUGGCAUCACGCGCGAGCCCGAUCAGCUCAAGCACCUCGGACACGUGGUGUACCGCGAGGACCACGGCGACGGCCGCUGCGAGUGCGAAUGGUGCGAGGUCUACCUUGCCCAUGUUGAGCCGGGCGAGCUGCAUAUCAACCAAGAGGAGAUCUCGGAAGUGCGCCGCGUGGCCCCGUCCGAGCUUAAAGGCUACCUGCAGGGUCACCCCGAGCAGCUGGCCCCCUGGCUCCGCGAGGCCCUCAGCGACCCAUCCAUCCGUACGGAUCUCGCUAUGUGAAACAAAAGACAGUCCCUUUGCCACAUCCAAACCGUCACAACAUUCGAUGAAAAUCUCGAAAUCGAGGAAAAGCGUCGAAUGUUGUGACGCUUUUCCUGUCUGUGCCGGCGAGCUCCCGUGUCAUCUGGGGGUAUAAGGCUAGCAAGUGUUUAUUUGCGAGGCUUAAGGGGCGCCCCGUAUGGAUAUCGAUAACUUUGAAUGGUGGUAUAGCGAGGGCGAGGCUCCGGACGAAGCGAUCAAGCGAAGCGAGUGAGCCCGAGGUCCCUAGAAAAACCCCUAGGCAGGCGCGUGCGCGCCCGUACCGCAAACCGACACAGGUGGGUGGGUAGAACAUACCGAGGCGAUCGGGUCAACCAUGGUCAAGGAACUCGGCACAAUGGCCCCGUAACUUCGGGAGAAGGGGUGCCCGCGCGUACGUGAACGGACUUGCUCCGGGAGCGGAGGCGGGCCGCAGUGGAGAGGCCCAAGCGACUGUUUACCAAAAACACAGGACUCUGCAGAAGCCGCAAGGCGACGUAUAGGGUCUGACGCCUGCCCGGUGCCGGAAGGUUACGCGGAUGCGUUAGCACUCGUGCGAAGCGCUGAAGCCAAGCCCCGGUAAACGGCGGCCGUAACUAUAACGGUCCUAAGGUAGCGAAAUUCCUUGUCGGGUAAGUUCCGACCUGCACGAAAGGCGCAACGACUUGGGCGCUGUCUCGACCAUGGACCCGGUGAAAUUGCACUAUUCGUGAAGAUGCGAAUUAUAUAUGGUUAGACGGUAAGACCCCGUGCACCUUUACUACAAUUUUUUAUUGAUUAUUUUUAUAAAAUUGUGUAGAAUAAGUGGGAGUUUAAAUUUAGUUUUAAACAACAAUGAAAUACCACUCGUUUUAUGAUUAAUAACUAACUUUAAAAAAAAAUUUAAAGGACAUAUAUAAGAUUGGUAGUUUAACUGGGGUGGUUUUCUCCAAAAAGGUAACGGAGAAAUAUAAAGGUAAAUUAAUAAUUAUUGUUGUAAUAAUUAUUUAUGUAUAAUGGCUAAAAUUUGCUUGACUGUAAGAUUGACAAAUCAAACAGAAACGAAAGUUGAUCAUAAUGACCCGGUAAUUCUUUAUGGAAAGGUUAUCGAUCAAUGGAUAAAAGGUACGCCGGGGAUAACAGGCUGAUAAUUCUCUAGAGCUCAUAUCGACGGAAUGGUUUGGCACCUCGAUGUCGGCUCAUCACAUCCUAGAGCUGAAGAAGGUUCUAAGG
rnacentral:rRNA from 1 species